CUCUGCACCUAUUUUACAGCAUCCUGUCCCCUCACUGCCCUAUAUUCUUGAGGUUGAUGCUUCGGAUAUUGGGGUAGGUGCUGUCUUAUCCCAAAGAGAGUCGCCUGAAAAGCCAUUGCAUCCAUGCGGCUUCUUUUCUAAACAAAUGUCCAAAGCAGAGAAAAAUUAUGAUGUGGGUAAUCGCGAACUCCUUGCUAUUAUUUUAGCACUUAAA